CUCGUCCGUCUUUCAGGUGGCGAAAGAGAAAAAAAAAAAAAAAGAGAGAAGAGUUAGGGUUUGAUUUGAUUGAGUUACGGCGGCGACUAACUAGGUUAGGGUAUUGAACAAAUCAGAGUCUUUCUUUUUUCGACUCAUUCAACACGGUCCUCCUAAAGGUUAUUGGAACUCAUUCAACACGGUCUUCGUCCCCGAGCUUUAAGUUCUUCGCCCCACACACAACAGAAAUUAGGGGAGGAGUAAAAGAUGCACACUAUAUGCAGGACGCAGCAACAACAACGAUGGAAUGUAAAAUUUAUAUCCUUUUUUUCUUAAUCUCUGUUAACUUGUGUGUGUGGUAAAAUUAAUCUCAGAACCGUGGACAAGACCACUCAUUAUGCCCUCCUGUAAGUAUAAUUCCCGAUACUUAAAUUUGCUUCUGGAAAUUCAUCAUAGAGCGGUGGAUUCGAGGAGGCUGCUAGCAGCAUAUCAAACUCAGUGGCCAAGGUUGUACAUGAUGAGCUAGUGAAGUUGUGAUGGCUGCUCGAGAAGUAUCUGAGCUACGCUUUGGUAAACCAGGUCUUAAAGCCCUAGAAGACCUUUUCCUAAACAAUUAGACUUGGUGAUAUUAUGUUUUCAUGGAUGUUUGAUGAGAUUCAUGCCUUGAAGCAAUUUAAAGUUGCCGCUGAUCUCUUGGCCAAGAAAGAUGAUUUACCUCCACUAUAUGAUAGUUGCUACAUUAAAAAUAAUAAGGUGCGUGUUGUGUUGGCCAUGGAAGAUACAUAACACAAGGAGCCAAGUGAAGGGCCCACAGCUGAUGUUUGUUCUGUUUACUGGUGGACUCAGGAAAGAAGCUGCUUGCAGAGCCAAACUCAAAGGCUAAGGCCCGUGAUUAGAGUUCCUUGUACUCAGAGCUGAAGUCAACGGUGCUCUUCUCCAUCGAGACAUGUAUGUAUGAAGCCAGAACUUAGGAGAGAUUGUGUCUGCUACAUGUCGUUUUUCACACCUUCUUGCUUCCUCUACCCGCAAUCCAGCUUCUAUCUUUCUCCUCCACGCUGAGACGAGAGCUAUGGAGUUUGGUGAAACCGAAGAGUGUUGUUGGCCAUGGAGGAUACAUAUAUCAGAUGGACCCAAGUGAAUAGCCCAGAUGUUUCUUCUGUUGACUGAAGUGUGGCUCAUCACUGCUAUGUUGCAGAUUGUACAUGAUGAUGAGCUUGAAAUUGUGAUGGCUAGUGGAUUCGAGGAAGGAGGCUGCGUGCAGAUAGUUAUAAUGCCUUGUAGGCACCGUGGAUCAUCCCAAAACUAGUAGGAGAUGUCACAUGUCCUCCAAAAGAUGGUCCACAACGUUGCAGCAGCUUCCUGCUCUUAUCAAGCUGCAUCUUUCGUGGCCAAUGUUGAUGAGUGGAAGUGGAAGUUAGGCGUUCUGUUGGCCAAUGAUAGCCAACAAGAAAUUGUUUCCAGAGACAAAAGGGAUCGAUGGGAUUAUGAGCAAAUUUCAAAUCUUGCCAAGAGAAUGGGACUGUACAGUGAGAUUUGUGGGAAGUGGUUGUCGCAAGCGAGGUUUCCUCUACCCAAUUACCCGCCAGAUUAGGAUGACAAUCGACCACAACGAGAGGUGGUACUUCCUUUGAGUUAGCAAAGAAUGGUUCCUGCAGAACACCUUGUGUUACUUUCUCUUAGAAGUAGUUGGUAUUUGAUAAUAUUUGAUCUCACUUCACUUCACUUCACUUCUUCUGAUUCUUUGGCUCCCAUCAUCUUCUCCAUGGCAACAUUUGAAGGCUGGAAUGUUUCUUGAAGGUAUGUGUGGAGCCUGGAUGGCUACCAACUCUCGUGUUAGCUAAAUCGUGCCAAAAGCAUGGCCAACUUGUUUUCGUAGCAUAUUGGAGCUCAAAAUCGGACGUGGAGUUAUUGAAUAUGAUGUAGCUUCUGGAAAGAUUAUCAUAGAACCGUGGACAACACUUAUGCCCUUCAGUUGCAGUCCAAAAGAUGUGGAGUAAUUGAAUAUGAUGCAGCUUUAGGAAAGUUUAUCAUAGAACCGUGGAAAAAACUUAUGCCCUCACCUGUGGAUCAUCUCAAAACCAGUUGGAGAUGUUAUGUUAGUCCUCCAAAAGCUUCCAGGUCUCUGUGUGUCAAAUGUAAAUGGAAUUUUCGGUGGUGGUUUACUCGCUGCUGGAUUAUAUUGUUGUAUUGUUACAGAAUGAGGGGUGAUGCAUACUAUAUGACGCAGCAACAACAACGAUGGAAUGGAAGAUUUAUAUCCUUUUUCUUAAUCUCUCGUGUGUAACGUUAUCACAGAACCGUGGACAAACACACCUAUCCCCUGUAAGUAUAAUUCCCGAUACUUGAAUUGCAUCUUCUCUGCACCAGUUGGAAAUGUUACAUGUCCUCCAAAAGGUGAAACCUCUUUUGUCUCCACAGACAGAAAUCGGGGAUGAUGCACUAUAUGACGCAACAACAACAACGAUGAAAUGGAAACUUAAUAUUCUUUUUCUUGAUCUCUUAUGUCCAAAUUGAAGUGUACGAGUGAAAGUACUAUAUAUUUCUCAGUUCCGAUUUUAUAUGCAUCACGUUUCUGUUUCAGCUCCAUUGG